AGCCGUAUCGGAAGGUGCGGCUGGAUCACCUCCUUUUGAGCAUGACGUCAUUCGUCCUGUCGGGCGUCCUCACAAAUUACCUGCAUUCAGAGAUUCAUACCGGCACAGGUCGGUAUGCGAAGUCCCUUUUG
rnacentral:rRNA from 1 species